ensembl:lncRNA
GAAAAAGUGCGGUGUUGAAAAACUGGAGCUCAUUUGCUUCAGCAAGAGGCUGCACUGGAGAGUGGACUUUGUCACAUGUGAGCCACCCACAUCAACAGGAUGGGAACUCAUGUGGAGUGCAUGUCAUAAUGGUGCAGUGCCAGAAAUGUGGUGCAUACAAGCACAUGCGUUGUUCAAAGUCUGUUUGUGGCAUCUGUAUCUUCUGUGAGAGGCCGUAAAGCCAAACUGCCCGCAAUGAUUCUUGACAGGCCUAAGAAGGCCAAAACUAAAGUAACAGUGUUUAGUGUUCUGAGUGAAGAGGAGGCUGGGGAGCUAGCCCUCGGGUUUGCCGGAAGAUUGGCCUGCGAUGUCACAAGAGACAUGGUCUGUAAAGGCAUCGACCAUUCAAGUGCUGAUAUGACAAA